rnacentral:rRNA from 1 species
GCUUACCAUGGCAAGGUCGAACGAUGAUCCGGUGCUUGCGCCGGGGAUUAGUGGCGAACGGGUGAGUAACACGUGAGUAACCUGCCCUUGACUCUGGGAUAAGCCUGGGAAACUGGGUCUAAUACCGGAUAUGACUCCUCAUCGCAUGGUGGGGGGUGGAAAGCUUUUUGUGGUUUUGGAUGGACUCGCGGCCUAUCAGCUUGUUGGUGGGGUAAUGGCCUACCAAGGCGACGACGGGUAGCCGGCCUGAGAGGGUGACCGGCCACACUGGGACUGAGACACGGCCCAGACUCCUACGGGAGGCAGCAGUGGGGAAUAUUGCACAAUGGGCGAAAGCCUGAUGCAGCGACGCCGCGUGAGGGAUGACGGCCUUCGGGUUGUAAACCUCUUUCAGUAGGGAAGAAGCCCUCUUUGGGGGUGACGGUACUUGCAGAAGAAGCGCCGGCUAACUACGUGCCAGCAGCCGCGGUAAUACGUAGGGCGCAAGCGUUAUCCGGAAUUAUUGGGCGUAAAGAGCUCGUAGGCGGUUUGUCGCGUCUGCUGUGAAAGACCGGGGCUCAACUCCGGUUCUGCAGUGGGUACGGGCAGACUAGAGUGCAGUAGGGGAGACUGGAAUUCCUGGUGUAGCGGUGAAAUGCGCAGAUAUCAGGAGGAACACCGAUGGCGAAGGCAGGUCUCUGGGCUGUAACUGACGCUGAGGAGCGAAAGCAUGGGGAGCGAACAGGAUUAGAUACCCUGGUAGUCCNUGCCGUAAACGUUGGGCACUACGUGUGGGGGGACAUUCCAUGUUUUCCGCGCCGUAGCUAACGCAUUAANUGCCCCGCCUGCGAGUACGGCCGCCACGCUGAAACUCAAAGGAAUUGACGGGGGNNCNCACAAGCAGCGGAACAUGACGAUUA